rnacentral:lncRNA from 10 species
GUUUAAAUGUGGACUAUAUCCAUCAAUAUUUAUCAUAUUAGAAAUUAAAGCAGGAAAUUUAAAAAUAUUUUAAUAGUAGUAAAUCCAUUACGUGUUAACAUGUUGUAGACUGAAAUGUGUCCCCCAAAAUUCACAUGUUGAAACUCUAACCUCUAAUGUAACUGUAUUAGGAGCUAGGGUUUUUAGGAGAUAAUCAAGGUUAAAUGAGGGGAUCCUAAUCUGAUAGUAUUGAUGGCUUUGUAAGAAGAAGAGAGGGAUUGCUGUCUCUCUGCCAUGCAAAGACACAGUGAGAAGACUGCUCUCUGAAGGCCAGGAGGAGAGCCCUCACCAGAGCCCAACCAUUCUAGUACCUUGAUCUUGGACUUCCAACCUUCAGAUUGUGAGAAAAUAAAUUUCUG